UCCUCUGAGCACUGCCAGACUGAUGUGGCCAAAAUAAAACCAGUAAUCUGUAACGCAUUUUAACCCACUUAAUUAUUUAUUAAACACUUUCUCACAAACUCGGAAAUAUAUUUAUAGAUUGAACUCUGGCCGUUUUUACUCAAAGUUUUGGACUAGUAAAUAUAUAUUACAUAACAACCCGAAUACAGAUGGAUUAUAAGCCUGAAACGAAUUGAGAACGUCUCAAGUGCUCAAAAACGGUCAAAUCUAAUAAGAAUUGUGCUCAGCGUCCCGUCACGCAUGACCCCGACACAAAGCUGGAAUGUGAGUUUAGAUUUGCAGCAAUAGCCCGUCUACCUUAUGUGCUCACAUGGAAAAUCUCCACACCAACGGGGAACAACAAAGUAGCGACAUUUGCCACCAGUUGUGUUUGUCCACCACAAAAUUACCGAACAUGAAACCCGUCCAAAGCACGGUGGAACGACCCCGUUUCCCAUGUACGUUUUCCGGCUGUGAAAAAUCCUACCUGAAAAAAUCUGAAGUUGCAAGACACCACUUAAGAGUUGACUAUAUUUUAUGUUAAACCAAUCCUCAUAAAUCACAUAGUGGCGAAACUGACGAACUCGGUGGGGUAUAAAGUUCACAAGUUUCGGUGGGAAUUUUGAAUUUUUU